rnacentral:rRNA from 1 species
GACGCCGCGUGCGGGAUGACGGCCUUCGGGUUGUAAACCGCUGUCAGGAGGGACGAAUACCCGGCCGCGAAUAGCGGACCGGGGGUGACGGUACCUCCAGAGGAAGCACCGGCUAACUCCGUGCCAGCCACCUCGGUGACUGAGCGGGCUGGCAAGGCGCAUA